rnacentral:rRNA from 1 species
UAGGGAAUCUUCGGCAAUGGGGGGAACCCUGACCGAGCAACGCCGCGUGAGUGAAGAAGGUUUUCGGAUCGUAAAGCUCUGUUGUUAAGGAAGAACGAGUGUGAGAAUGGAAAGUUCAUACUGUGACGGUACUUAACCAGAAAGGGACGGCUAACUACGUGCCAGCAGCCGCGGUAAUACGUAGGUCCCGAGCGUUGUCCGGAUUUAUUGGGCGUAAAGCGAGCGCAGGCGGUUAGAUAAGUCUGAAGUUAAAGGCAGUGGCUCAACCAUUGUAGGCUUUGGAAACUGUUUAACUUGAGUGCAGAAGGGGAGAAUGGAAUUCCAUGUGUAGCGGUGAAAUGCGUAGAUAUAUGGAGGAACACCGGUGGCGAAAGCGGCUCUCUGGUCUGUAACUUACGCUGAGGCUCGAAAGCGUGGGGAGCGAACAAG